UGGGGGAUAUUGCACAAUGGGCGAAAGCCUGAUGCAGCGACGCCGCGUGGGGGAUGAAGGCUUUCGGGUUGUAAACCUCUUUCGCUAUCGAACAAGGCCCGCUUAGGGUGGGUUGAGGGUAGGUGGAGAAGAAGCGCCGGCUAACUACGUGCCAGCAGCCGCGGUAAUACGUAGGGCGCGAGCGUUGUCCGGAAUUAUUGGGCGUAAAGGGCUUGUAGGCGGCUUGUUGCGCCUGCUGUGAAAACGCGGGGCUUAACUUCGCGCGUGCAGUGGGUACGGGCAGGCUUGAGUGUGGUAGGGGUGACUGGAAUUCCAGGUGUAGCGGUGGAAUGCGCAGAUAUCAGGAGGAACACCGAUGGCGAAGGCAGGUCACUGGGCCAUUACUGACGCUGAGGAGCGAAAGCAUGGGUAGCGAACAGG
rnacentral:rRNA from 1 species